UACGAAGGGGGCUAGCGUUGCUCGGAAUCACUGGGCGUAAAGCGCACGUAGGCGGCUUUUUAAGUCAGGGGUGAAAUCCUGGAGCUCAACUCCAGAACUGCCUUUGAUACUGAGAAGCUUGAGUUCGGGAGAGGUGAGUGGAACUGCGAGUGUAGAGGUGAAAUUCGUAGAUAUUCGCAAGAACACCAGUGGCGAAGGCGGCUCACUGGCCCGAUACUGACGCUGAGGAGCGAAAGCGUGGGGAGCGAACAGG
rnacentral:rRNA from 1 species